CUAGUCUGAAGCUCUAAAUUAUAUAACUGCAAGGGAAGAAAAGCUAGCCAGGGACUUUUACAUAUCUCGAUGGCUAUUCUAUCUCCAACUACCUCGAGUUGUUCUUUUUCCUCCGUGGCGCAACUUCCAUGCCACGUGGCCCAGUCAACUGUUUCCAUUUAAGGCAAAUAGAGGAGUACACACACCUAAUCGCAUCAAUCAAAGCCCAGAUUAUGAUGGUUUGUGAAGGGAUACAGGAAUUACUCCACCUUUCAGUAGAGGGGUCUUACUAAACGAGAGUUCUCGAAUUUUGUAUUACUCAGUUCCUACUGCUGCUUUGCUAGCAUAUCUACACAAUGAAGAUAGAGAGGAGAAAACAAGGGCGGACAAAUGAGGUUUGUUAUGGACCUGCAUUUCUGUGGUGUUUCUAUAAAUAGAAGACUGUAUUGCUAUCACAGAGGUGUCAAUAUUGUGAAGUUGAUGGACUAUACUUUUGUGGAAGCAGACAAAAAUUAAUUCUAGUAUGAAAUGCAUUUAAAUUCAACAGUUGAUGGCUUGUGUUCGUUGGUGUUGACAAUCUAUUGCC